AAGGGUAUAGCUCAGUGGUAGAGUGCAUGCUUUGCAUGCACGCAGUCCUGGGUUCAAUCCCUAGUGCCUCUG
rfam:Camelus ferus unplaced genomic scaffold scaffold1279, whole genome shotgun sequence.